rnacentral:rRNA from 1 species
UACGUAGGGUGCAAGCGUUGUCCGGAAUUACUGGGCUUAAAGGGUGCGUAGGCGGUGCGGAAAGUCGGGUGUGAAAUCCCCCAGCUCAACUGGGGAAUUGCGCCUGAAACUACCGUGCUCGAGGAAGACAGAGGUACGCGGAACUUAGGGUGGAGCGGUGAAAUGCGUUGAUAUCCUAAGGAACACCGGUGGCGAAAGCGGCGUACUGGGUCUUAUCUGACGCUGAGGCACGAAAGCGUGGGGAGCAAACAGGG